AGUGAACGCUGGCGGCAGGCCUAACACAUGCAAGUCGAGCGGCAGCGCGUCCGACCACCCUCGGGUGGUCGGAUGGCGGCGAGCGGCGGACGGGUGAGGAAUGCAUCGGAAUCUGCCUCGUUGUGGGGGAUAACGUAGGGAAACUUACGCUAAUACCGCAUACGACCUACGGGUGAAAGUGGGGGACCUUCGGGCCUCACGCGAUGAGAUGAGCCGAUGCCGGAUUAGCUAGUUGGCGGGGUAAAGGGCCCGACCAAGGCGACGAUCCGUAGCUGGUCUGAGAGGAUGAUCAGCCACACUGGAACUGAGACACGGUCCAGACUCCUACGGGAGGCAGCAGUCGGGGAAUAUUGGACAAUGGGGGCGAACCCUGAUCCAGCCAUGCCGCGUGUGUGAAGAAGGCCUCGGUUGUAAG
rnacentral:rRNA from 1 species